rnacentral:rRNA from 1 species
UACAGAGGUCCCAAGCGUUGUUCGGAUUUAUUGGGCGUAAAGGGUGCGUAGGUGGCGCGCUAAGUCAGGUGUGAAAUUUCGGAGCUUAACUCCGAAACUGCAUUUGAUACUGGCGUGCUUGAGGACUGGAGAGGAGACUGGAAUUCAUGGUGUAGCAGUGAAAUGCGUAGAGAUCAUGAGGAAGACCAGUGGCGAAGGCGGGUCUCUGGACAGUUCCUGACACUGAGGCACGAAGGCCAGGGGAGCAAACGGG